UCUCCUGUAGCUCAGUGGUAGAGCGUCCGACCGGCGUGCGGAAGGUCAUAGGUUCAAAAUCUUGUUGGGAGAA